rnacentral:tRNA from 1 species
UACCUGGAGGUCCAAUGGGUAAGAAGGACUUGGCACUUUGACUGCUAAGGGUCCAGGUUCGAUCCCUGGUUGGGGAA